rnacentral:ribozyme from 1 species
UUCGACCGUAGCUGCUACCUUGACGUGGUGGUCGGACUUGCUUAUUGUGAUGGCCCAACCGAACUAUAUUGGCUGGAACAUAUGUUCUUUUAGGUUCAACCAUGCCAGGCAGGUCGAUUGGAGAACGGUAAGACUAAAAGCAGC